CUACGGGAGGCAGCAGUGAGGAAUAUUGGGCAAUGGGCGAGAGCCUGACCCAGCAACGCCGCGUGGAGGAAGACGGCCUUCGGGUUGUAAACUCCUUUUGACGGGGAAGAGAGAGGACGGUACCCGUCGAAUAAGUCACGGCUAACUACGUGCCAGCAGCCGCGGUAAUACGUAGGUGACAAGCGUUAUCCGGAAUUACUGGGCGUAAAGCGCACGCAGGCGGCAGAUUAAGUCUGACGUGAAAUCUCCUGGCUUAACUGGGAGGGGUCGUUGGAAACUGGUCAGCUUGAGGUGGUGAGAGGGGUGUAGAAUUCCCGGUGUAGUGGUGGAAUGCGUAGAUAUCGGGAGGAAUACCAGUGGCGAAAGCGACACCCUGGCACUAGCCUGACGCUCAUGUGCGAAAGCGUGGGGAGCAAACGGGAUUAGAAACCCGAGUAGUCC
rnacentral:rRNA from 1 species